UACAGAGGGGGCAAGCGUUGUUCGGAAUUACUGGGCGUAAAGGGCUCGUAGGCGGCCAACUAAGUCAGACGUGAAAUCCCCAGGCUUAACCGGGGAACUGCAUCUGAUACUGGAUGGCUUGAGUUCGGGAGAGGGAUGUGGAAUUCCAGGUGUAGCGGUGAAAUGCGUAGAUAUCUGGAGGAACACCGGUGGCGAAGGCGGCAUCCUGGACCGACACUGACGCUGAGGAGCGAAAGCCAGGGGAGCAAACGGG
rnacentral:rRNA from 1 species